CCUACGGGUGGCAGCAGUGAGGAAUAUUGGUCAAUGGGCGCGAGCCUGAACCAGCGAAGUAGCGUGAAGGAUGACUGCCCUACGGGUUGUAAACUUCUUUUAUAAAGGAAUAAAGUGAGGCACGUGUGCCAUUUGGUAUGGACAUUAAGAAUAAGGAAAGGCUAACUCCGUGCCAGCAGCCGCGGUAAUACGGAGGAACCGAGCGUUAUACGGAUUUAGUGGGUUUAAAGGGAGCGUAGAUGGUUUGUUAAGUCAGUUGUGAAAGUUUGCGGCUCAACCGUAAAAUUGCAAUUGAGACUGGCAGUCUUGAGUACAGUUGAGGUAGGCGGAAUUCGUGGUGUAGCGGUGAAAUGCUUAGAUAUCACGAAUAACUCCGAUUGCGAAGGCAGCUUACUAAACUGCCACUGACAUUGAUGCUCGAAAGUGUGGGUAUCAAACAGGAUUAGAUACCCUAGUAGUC
rnacentral:rRNA from 1 species